rnacentral:rRNA from 1 species
UACGUGGGUGGCAAGCGUUGUCCGGAAUUAUUGGGCGUAAAGCGCGCGCAGGCGGCCUUUUAAGUCUGAUGUGAAAGCCCACGGCUCAACCGUGGAAGGUCAUUGGAAACUGGAAGGCUUGAGUACAGAAGAGGAAAGCGGAAUUCCACGUGUAGCGGUGAAAUGCGUAGAGAUGUGGAGGAACACCAGUGGCGAAGGCGGCUUUCUGGUCUGUAACUGACGCUGAGGCGCGAAAGCGUGGGGAGCAAACAGG